UACGUAGGGUCCGAGCGUUGUCCGGAAUUAUUGGGCGUAAAGGGCUCGUAGGCGGUUUGUCGCGUCGGGAGUGAAAACACCGGGCUUAACUCGGUGCUUGCUUUCGAUACGGGCAGACUGGAGGUAUGCAGGGGAGAACGGAAUUCCUGGUGUAGCGGUGAAAUGCGCAGAUAUCAGGAGGAACACCGGUGGCGAAGGCGGUUCUCUGGGCCGUAACUGACGCUGGAGGAGCGAAAGCAUGGGGAGCGAACAGG
rnacentral:rRNA from 1 species